rnacentral:sRNA from 10 species
AAAGUCGGAAUGGGUGUGUAAAGAUUUCUGACAGGAAGAGGGAAACAAGCAACCCUCGUUCGGUGCGGGUAAUCAUUCCAACGGUUCCGCAUUGAUGCCGCUGCU